rnacentral:lncRNA from 1 species
AAUUCUGCCAUUUACUGGGAAUCGAUUUAUGAUGCUCAAAGUUCAAAUAAAAGUCACUUUUCUCAACUGCAGACAAGUUAACAUCAUCAGUCAAAUCUGUAUCACCACUGUCACCGACACAAACCUGAAAAAUAAAUACAAAAGAGCAGUAUCUCGUCCAAAAAUUGGAGUGGGAGGGCGGGUUUUCAAUUUUUCCGCUUACGAAAUUUAAACAGCUUGCUUGUUGCGAUGAAAUUCUAAAAAGGACUAAAUUACGUCAC